rnacentral:rRNA from 1 species
AACCUGGUUGAUCCUGCCAGUAGUCAUAUGCUUGUCUCAAAGAUUAAGCCAUGCAUGUCUAAGUACAUGCCGAAAUAAGGCGAAACCGCGAAUGGCUCAUUAAAUCAGUUAUGGUUCCUUAGAUCGUUUCUUCCUACUUGGAUAACUGUGGCAAUUCUAGAGCUAAUACAUGCAGUGAGCCUGGAGCCCUUUGGGUAACGGGUGCUUUUAUUAGACCAAGAUCGAUCGGGUUUCGGCCCGUAUUGUGUGGUGACUCUGGAUAACUUUGUGCUGAUCGCAUGGCCACGAGCCGGCGACGUUUCUUUCAAGUGUCUGCCUUAUCAACUUUCGAUGGUAGGUUACUUGCUUACCAUGGUUGUUACGGGUAACGGAGAAUCAGGGUUCGAUUCCGGAGAGGGAGCCUGAGAAACGGCUACCACAUCCAAGGAAGGCAGCAGGCGCGCAAAUUACCCACUCCCGGCACGGGGAGGUAGUGACGAAAAAUAACAAUACGGGACUCUUUUGAGGCCCCGUAAUUGAAAUGAGUACACUCUAAAUCCUUUAACGAGGAUCAAUUGGAGGGCAAGUCUGGUGCCAGCAGCCGCGGUAAUUCCAGCUCCAAUAGCGUAUACUAAAGCUGCUGCGGUUAAAAAGCUCGUAGUUGGAUCUCAGUUCCAGACGAGUAGUGCAUCUACCCGAUGCGACGGCUCGGACUGAACAUCAUGCCGGUUCUUUCUUGGUGCACUUCAUUGUGUGCCUCGAGAUGGCCGGUGCUUUUACUUUGAAAAAAUUAGAGUGCUCAACGCAGGCGAGUCGCCUGAAUAAACUUGCAUGGAAUAAUAGAACAAGACCUCGUUUCUGUUCUGUUGGUUUUUGGAAUACGAGGUAAUGAUUAAGAGGGACGGACGGGGGCAUUCGUAUUGCGGCGCUAGAGGUGAAAUUCUUGGACCGUCGCAAGACGAACUACUGCGAAAGCAUUUGCCAAGAAUGUUUUCUUUGAUCAAGAACGAAAGUCAGAGGUUCGAAGGCGAUCAGAUACCGCCCUAGUUCUGACCAUAAACGAUGCCAACCAGCGAUCCGCCUGAGUUACUCAAAUGACUCGGCGGGCAGCUUCCGGGAAACCAAAGUAUUUGGGUUCCGGGGGAAGUAUGGUUGCAAAGCUGAAACUUAAAGGAAUUGACGGAAGGGCACCACCAGGAGUGGAGCCUGCGGCUUAAUUUGACUCAACACGGGAAAACUUACCCGGCCCGGACACUGGGAGGAUUGACAGAUUGAGAGCUCUUUCUUGAUUCGGUGGAUGGUGGUGCAUGGCCGUUCUUAGUUGGUGGAGCGAUUUGUCUGGUUAAUUCCGAUAACGAACGAGACUCUAGCCUAUUAAAUAGGUGCGGGGUUCCCAGCACCUUACAACCUUCUUAGAGGGACAAGCGGCUCCUAGCCGCACGAAACAGAGCAAUAACAGGUCUGUGAUGCCCUUAGAUGUCCGGGGCCGCACGCGCGCUACACUGAAGGAAGCAGCGUGUCUUUAUCCCUGUCUGAAAAGACUGGGUAACCCGUGGAACUUCUUUCGUGAUUGGGAUAGGGGCUUGCAAUUGUUCCCCUUGAACGAGGAAUUCCCAGUAAGCGCGAGUCAUAAGCUCGCGUUGAUUACGUCCCUGCCCUUUGUACACACCGCCCGUCGCUACUACCGAUUGAAUGAUUUAGUGAGGUCUUCGGACCGAUGUCCGGCGCGGCCUUUCGGUUGCGCCGGUCUGUUGGAAAGAUGACCAAACUUGAUCAUUUAGAGGAAGUAAAAGUCGUAACAAGGUUUCCGUAGGUGAACCU